CCUACGGGAGGCAGCAGUGAGGAAUAUUGGUCACUGGGCGCGAGCCUGAACCAGCCAAGCAGCGUGAAGGAUGACUGCCCUAAGGGUUAUAAGCUUCUUUUAUCAAGGAAUAAAGUGAAGCACGAGUGACUUUUUGUAUGUACUUUAUGAAUAAGGAUCGGCUCACUCCGUGCCAGCAGCCGAGGUACUCCGGCGGAUCGGAGCGUUAUCCGGAUUUAUUGGGGUUAAAGGAAGCGUCGCUGGGUUGUUGAGUCAGAUGUGAAAGUUUGCGGCGCAACCGUAAAAUUGCAAUUGAUACUGGCAGUCUUGAGUACAGUUGAGGUAGGCGGAAUUCGUGGUGUAGCGGUGAAAUGCGUAGAUAUCACGAAGAACUCCGAUUGCGAAGGCAGCUUACUAAACUGCCACUGACAUUGAGGUUCGAAAGUGUGGGUAUCAAACAGGAUUAGAUACCCGAGUAGUC
rnacentral:rRNA from 1 species